ACCGGCGGCUCGAGUGGUAACCGUUAUUAUUGGGUCUAAAGGGUCUGUAGCCGGCCGGAUAAGUCUCUUGAGAAAUCUGGCAGCUUAACUGUCAGGCUUUCAGGAGAUACUGUCUGGCUCGAGGCCGGGAGAGGUGAGAGGUGCUUCAGGGGUAGGAGUGAAAUCAUGUAAUCCUUGAGGGACCACCUGUGGCGAAGGCGUCUCACCAGAACGGACCUGACUGUGAGGAACGAAAGCUGGGGGCACAAACCG
rnacentral:rRNA from 1 species